UCACCUGCUCAUCACUGGAAUGGGGAAGGCGUUGUUCUUUCAGCUUUGUGGUCAACAGAGCCAGUAAAGGAUUUUUGAAGAAGCAAUGAAAGCUCCAGGGAUCAAAGUCCCUCCAUGUUGUGCAUCAUCAUUUAAAGGGAGGUUGCUAUUAAUGAACAAAAAUUGCUGACAUCUGAAAAAGGACAUUUUGAAAAUAUGUUGACCAGAUAAACAGCAAAGGAUUUAGGGGGAGCAAUAGACUGGGAUCACCAAAUGGAGAAAUAAAAUGGAGCGUUCUCAUUUAACCAGAGGACAUCUGAAAUAAUGAGAGGAAAGUGUCCAUGAUAAGCAGAGGAACAUGUUGGAAUAUUUAACAGAAAUAGACAUUUUAGAAAGAGACAGUAUAAAAGAAACCAGGAAGAAGGAGCAUAUGGAAACCACAAUAUUGCUUGGGAUUGAAUUCAGGAAAAAACAAAUGCCAAAGAGAAUGAGUCUAUUCUCCAUAUAUACUCAGCUCUGUUCAGUUUUCUGUUUGGGACUUAAUGUUGACAACUCACAGGCAAAAUGCUUUCUCUAGAGGAAUUUUUCUCUACCAGUUAGAAAGUGAUGUGAGAGUUGCAAUUGUGAGAGCAAAUAAUCCCCAGAUCUGUGGACCCACAUUCCUAUGCCUCCUGCAGAAUUUGAAAAGAAUUCCAAAAGAAUACAUAAGUAUAAAACCUCCCCCCUUCCAAUAAAAACAAACUUAAGGCUUUUGUGAUUAGCCUUUCCUUUAUUACUCCUGAAGAAAAAUAAUAAGUCAAUAAGUAAGAGGAAAUAUUCAUAACAGAUACUCAGUUCUUCCUAAGCAAUGGAACAAUUAAUAAGUAAAACCAGCAGUUAGCACUUACUGAGUUCUUUCAAUGUACCAGUACUUUCCGUGGACAAUUAGUUUAAUGCUCACAACAACCCUAUGUGGAAGACAUCAGUUAGGAGUUAGCACACAGAACCCACGUUGUGCAUCUAAACAGAAAGCUUUUAAUAAGAGGAAUUGCUAACUAUUAUUAAUGAACUAUUAUUGAAGAACUAAAAACAUAGACAGGGAAGUAAUAACUGCCAGAAGCAGCUACCACCACUAAGGUUAGGGCAAUAGAUAAAGAACUGGUAAGUAUCAAAAUUUAGAGACUGGAAGGAGGAUCCUCGAUGAGAUAAAACUGAGACUUCUUAG